rnacentral:rRNA from 1 species
UUUGAUCAUGGCUCAGGACAAACGCUGGCGGCGUGUAUUAGGCAUGCAAGUCGCACGGACCUUCGGGUCAGUGGCGGACGGGUGAGUAACACGUGGGUAACCUGCCUCGGAGUGGGGAAUAACUCAUCGAAAGGUGAGCUAAUACCGCAUACCACUCCCGAUGAGAAUUCGGGUAGUAAAAGCAGCAAUGCGCUCUGAGAGGGGCCCGCGGCCGAUUAGCUUGUUGGUGGGGUAAUGGCCUACCAAGGCGACGAUCGGUAGCUGGUCUGAGAGGAUGGUCAGCCACACGGGGACUGAGAUACGGCCCCGACUCCUACGGGAGGCAGCAGCUGAGAAUCUUGCGCAAUGGGCGAAAGCCUGACGCAGCAACGCCGCGUGGAGGACGAAGGCCCUCGGGUUGUAAACUCCUUUUGCGAGGGAAGAAGAUCUGACGGUACCUCGCGAAUAAGCCACGGCUAACUACGUGCCAGCAGCCGCGGUAAUACGUAGGUGGCGAGCGUUGUCCGGAUUUACUGGGCGUAAAGAGCCCGCAGGCGGUCCGUUAAGUUUCAGGUGAAAUCUCCCGGCUCAACCGGGAGGGUGCCUGGAAAACUGGCGGACUUGAGGCAGGGAGAGGGAUGUGGAAUUCCCGGUGUAGUAGUGAAAUGCGUAGAUAUCGGGAGGAACACCAGUGGCGAAGGCGGCAUCCUGGCCCUGUCCUGACGCUCAGGGGCGAAAGCGUGGGGAGCAAACCGGAUUAGAUACCCGGGUAGUCCACGCCGUANCGAUG